CGGGGUGUAGCGCAGAUGGUAGCGCACCUGCUUUGGGAGCAGGGGGUCGGAGGUUCGAAUCCUCUCACCCCGA
rnacentral:tRNA from 1 species